rnacentral:rRNA from 1 species
CAGUAGCCGCGGUAAUACGUAGGUCCCGAGCGUUGUCCGGAUUUAUUGGGCGUAAAGCGAGCGCAGGCGGUUUGAUAAGUCUGAAGUUAAAGGCUGUGGCUCAACCAUAGUUCGCUUUGGAAACUGUCAAACUUGAGUGCAGAAGGGGAGAGUGGAAUUCCAUGUGUAGCGGUGAAAUGCGUAGAUAUAUGGGGGAACACCGGUGGCGAAAGCGGCUCUCUGGUCUGUAACUGACGCUGAGGCUCGAAAGCGUGGGGAGCGAACAGGAUUAGAUACCCCUGUAGUCCCUGUCUCUUAUACC